rnacentral:lncRNA from 1 species
CAAUACCUCUGUUAGUCUAUAAGGUGCCACAGGACCCUUUGUCGCUUAUGUACAGAGAGACCUUCUUGUGAAUGGGUGGAGUUGUAGAUGAUGCCUUUAGCCUCUGUCCCAUACAUAUGCAUGCACUUUGCCCAGCCUAGUUCUUUCUGCCUCACCAGCACCAUGCUGGGGUUCCCAUGACGGUUGUGCAGUUCAUUGCUCUCUGUUGACGGCUGUUCUCUUCCUAAUUCCAGAGUAGAGACUCUGACCACAAUCACAGGCCUCGGCGCUCUCCAGCGGCUGGCCAGGAAAGAGCCACCCACAAACACCGAGACCGCUCUAGGCCAAGGAGCCCGUCCUGGUCUCCUAAGAGAGACACUGACAAGAAGAGUACAGGGGCGGAGGAGGAAGAGUCUGAGCACAGGAGGUCAAGAUCUCCUCCUAGGCAUGGUGAACAGUACAGCACCAAGGUGGACAGGAAAGAAAAGGAAAGAGCUAGGAGCCCUUCCCCUAAAAAAGGAUACCGACGACAGCAUGCUUCAGGGUAUACUAGAAAGAUCUCCGCAGAGGAACUGGAACGUAAGCGUCAGGAAAUGUUGGAAAACGCCAAGUGGCGGGAAGAGGAGAGAGCGAACAAUGUCCGGAGACACCGAAAGGAGGAGGAGCGAGAACGAGAACUGGAGAAACUCAGCUCCCGAGAUGGGAAGUUCCUACACCACAUCAAACUGGAGAGUGCAUCCACUUCCUCUGUAGAGGAUCGGGUCAAACGCAACAUCCACUCCAUCCAGAGAACACCAGCUGCCCUGGAAAAAAACUUUAUGCAGAGAUGAAACUUGCUCUCCUCCUGCUGAUGUGCUGGCUCACUAGGACUUUUUCAGAACAGUUCACAAGACACUUCUUCUCAGAGGGCAGCUGCCCCAUGCACAGAGGGAUCCUCCAACAACCUACACAGACUCCUGCAAUGAUACUUACUCUGUGAAAGGGAGCUGGACUUCUCCAUAUCAGCACAGAGUUCCUUGGCCUUCUAGCUUUGUGAAUGCAUUUAUACCCAGAGUAUUACAUUGCAACAAGCUGUUUGCUGGAGUCACCCUCCACCGCCAGAUCCUGCUUCCUGUUGCCCACCUAAACCAGCAUCCAUUUUUAAUACUGUUAUACAUACAUUUCUGGUAACUAAUUACCAGACUAAUUGGGCAAGUUGACCUCUUUCGAUGCCUGAGAAAAGAUCUAUUUUAUCAAUACUGUAGAAUCGGCCUUGGGAACAAAUUCACCUGUGGAGUAACUCUGCUAACUUCUGUGAAGUGACAUGAGAGACAGACUUCACUUGAUUAGUAUUCAGUAUCACCAGUUUGGGAAUAGGCAAGAAGGGUGUAUGGAGUUAAUUUCAGCCAAAUUGAUCUGUGAAAUAACUGUAGAAAUAUGCCGAAUUGUUCACAGGCUUGAAUGAUGUAUGUCAGCAAGGCAGAGACUUAUGUGAAAGGAAGAAUAAACUGAAACAAAACUCAAACAAGUGCAGGUAAUAGAAUAAAAUAUUUCUCUGGGAUUUUGUACAUAUACACAGAGUAAUGGGCAUAAAUACAGGUGUGUAUAUCUGACUAGACUUCUUUUUUUUUUUAAGUACUUUUUGAAAAAUCUCUAACCCUCUUUCUGGAAAUGAGUCAGAUUAUAAUUGCAGAGAGCACUUCAACUCAUCAUUUAGGGCCAAUUAGCAAUUAGUGCAGUAGAUUACAGCAGCCUUUGAAAAACCAUCAUAAAAAUGUCCCCUCCCCACAUUAUGAUGAAAAUGAGGAUUAAAUUCAAAAAUAAAACUGUUGUGCUGAUAAGCAGGCAAAAAAAAAUGGCAAUGCUGAAUAACAAAAUUCUGUUUGCUUAUGUGCGGAAGGGACAUUAUUGGGAGGCUGAGGGUAGGAAUGUGAGACUUAAUUAGGGUUUUUCUCCAUUUUGAGGGGUCAGGCAAAUAUACUUUGUACCUCAGAGAGCAAAUUUUCAUGACAGUUUUGCAAAGCUGAUUUAAGUACUCUUUGAAUUGACCACACUGUCUAAAAUGUUUUCCUUUGGCAGAU